rnacentral:rRNA from 1 species
UGAGGAAUCUUCCGCAAUGGGCGAAAGCCUGACGGAGCGACGCCGCGUGGUGGAUGAAGGCCUUUACCGGUCGUAAACACCUGUUCUGAGGGAAGAAAUUUUUGACGAUACCUCAGGAGAAAGUAUCGGCAAACCCUGUGCCAGCAGCCGCGGUAAUACGUAGGGUGCAAGCGUUAAUCGGAAUUACUGGGCGUAAAGCGUGCGCAGGCGGUUAUAUAAGACAGAUGUGAAAUCCCUGGGCUCAACCUAGGAACUGCAUCUGUGACUGUAUAGCUAGAGUACGGUAGAGGGGGAUGGAAUUCCGCGUGUAGCAGUGAAAUGCGCAGAUAUGCGGAAGAACACCAGUGGCGAAGGCGGCUCACUGGAUCGGUACUGACGCUGAGGUGCGAAAGCGUGGGGAGCAAACAGGAUUAGAUACCCUCGUAGUCCCUGAGCGGGCUGGCAAGGCGCAU